rnacentral:misc_RNA from 1 species
AAAUGCGAUAAGUAAUGUGAAUGGCAGAAUUCAGUGAAUCAUCGAAUCUUUGAACGCACAUUGCGCCCGCCAGUAUUCUGGCGGGCAUGCCUGUUCGAGCGUCAUUUCAACCAUCAAGCCCCCGGCUUGUGUUGGGGACCUGCGGCUGCCCGCAGGCCCUGAAAAACAGUGGCGGGCUCGCUGUCACACCGAGCGUAGUAGCAUACAUUCUCGCUCAGGGCGUGCUGCGGGUUCCGGCCGUUAAACGACCUUCAUAACCCAAGGUUGACCUCGGAUCAGGUAGGAAGACCCUCUGAACUUCAGC